CAGCCGCGUAAUUCCAGCUCCAAUAGCGUAUAUUUAAGUUGUUGUGGUUAAAAAGCUCGUAGUUGAACCUUGGGCCUGGCUGGCCGGUCCGCCUCACCGCGUGUACUGGUCCGGCCGGGCCUUUCCCUCUGUGGAACCCCAUGCCCUUCACUGGGUGUGGCGGGGAAACAGGACUUUUACUUUGAAAAAAUUAGAGUGCUCCAGGCAGGCCUAUGCUCGAAUACAUUAGCAUGGAAUAAUAGAAUAGGACGUGUGGUUCUAUUUUGUUGGUUUCUAGGACCGCCGUAAUGAUUAAUAGGGACAGUCGGGGGCAUCAGUAUUCAAUUGUCAGAGGUGAAAUUCUUGGAUUUAUUGAAGACUAACUACUGCGAAAGCAUUUGCCAAGGAUGUUUUCAUUAAUCAGGAACGAAAGUUAGGGGAUCGAAGACGAUCAGAUACCGUCGUAGUCUUAACCAUAAACUAUGCCGACUAGGGAUCGGACGAUGUUAUUUAUUGACUCGUUCGGCACCUUACG
rnacentral:misc_RNA from 1 species